CUUGGUCAUUUAGAGGAAGUAAAAGUCGUAACAAGGUCUCCGUUGGUGAACCAGCGGAGGGAUCAUUACCGAGUUUACAACUCCCAAACCCCUGUGAACAUACCACUUGUUGCCUCGGCGGAUCAGCCCGCUCCCGGUAAAACGGGACGGCCCGCCAGAGGACCCCUAAACUCUGUUUCUAUAUGUAACUUCUGAGUAAAACCAUAAAUAAAUCAAAACUUUCAACAACGGAUCUCUUGGUUCUGGCAUCGAUGAAGAACGCAGCAAAAUGCGAUAAGUAAUGUGAAUUGCAGAAUUCAGUGAAUCAUCGAAUCUUUGAACGCACAUUGCGCCCGCCAGUAUUCUGGCGGGCAUGCCUGUUCGAGCGUCAUUUCAACCCUCAAGCACAGCUUGGUGUUGGGACUCGCGUUAAUUCGCGUUCCUCAAAUUGAUUGGCGGUCACGUCGAGCUUCCAUAGCGUAGUAGUAAAACCCUCGUUACUGGUAAUCGUCGCGGCCAUGCCGUUAAACCCCAACUUCUGAAUGUUGACCUCGGAUCAGGUAGGAAUACCCGCUGAACUUAAGCAUAUCAAUAAGCGGAGGA
rnacentral:rRNA from 1 species